rnacentral:rRNA from 1 species
GACGAACGCUGGCGGCGUGCCUAAUACAUGCAAGUCGAGCGCAGGGAACUGACGGAACUCUUCGGAGGGAAGGCAGUGGAAUGAGCGGCGGACGGGUGAGUAACACGUAAGGAACCUGCCUCAAGGAGUGGGAUAACUCCGAGAAAUCGGAGCUAAUACCGGAUAGUUCAUCGGACCGCAUGGUCCGAUGAUGAAAGGCGCUCCGGCGUCACCUUGAGAUGGCCUUGCGGUGCAUUAGCUAGUUGGUGGGGUAACGGCCCACCAAGGCGACGAUGCAUAGCCGACCUGAGAGGGUGAUCGGCCACACUGGGACUGAGACACGGCCCAGACUCCUACGGGAGGCAGCAGUAGGGAAUCUUCCACAAUGGACGAAAGUCUGAUGGAGCAACGCCGCGUGAGUGAUGAAGGUUUUCGGAUCGUAAAACUCUGUUGUAAGGGAAGAACACGUACGAGAGGGAAUGCUCGUACCUUGACGGUACCUUACGAGAAAGCCACGGCUAACUACGUGCCAGCCGCCGCUGUAAAAC